rnacentral:rRNA from 1 species
AGCAGUAGCCGCGGUAAUACGUAGGUGGCAAGCGUUGUCCGGAAUUAUUGGGCGUAAAGGGCUCGCAGGCGGUUUCUUAAGUCUGAUGUGAAAGCCCCCGGCUCAACCGGGGAGGGUCAUUGGAAACUGGGAAACUUGAGUGCAGAAGAGGAGAGUGGAAUUCCACGUGUAGCGGUGAAAUGCGUAGAGAUGUGGAGGAACACCAGUGGCGAAGGCGACUCUCUGGUCUGUAACUGACGCUGAGGAGCGAAAGCGUGGGGAGCGAACAGGAUUAGAGACCCCGGUAGUCCCUGUCUCUUAUAC